rnacentral:rRNA from 1 species
ACGGGAGGCAGCAGUGGGGAAUAUUGCACAAUGGGGGAAACCCUGAUGCAGCGACGCCGCGUGAGCGAUGAAGGAUUUCGGUAUGUAAAGUUCUAUCAGCAGGGAAGGUAAUGACGGUACCUGACUAAGAAGCACCGGCUAAAUACGUGCCAGCGGCCGCGGUAAUACGUAUGGUGCAAGCGUUAUCCGGAUUUACUGGGUGUAAAGGGUGCGUAGGUGGCAUGGCAAGUCAGAAGUGAAAACCCGGGGCUCAACCCAGUGACUGCUUUUGAAACUGUCAGGCUAGAGUACAGGAGAGGAAAGCGGAAUUCCUAGUGUAGCGGUGAAAUGCGUAGAUAUUAGGAGGAACACCAGUUGCGAAGGCGGCUUUCUGGACUGACACUGACACUGAGGCACGAAAGCGUGGGGAGCAAACAGGAUUAGAUACCCUGGUA